UUCUCCACGGAGGAAACCACUUUCUCCUCCACGGAGGCGAUCUCCUCCUCCAAUCCGCAGGGGGGCUGAUUCAUCGAGGCGUCGACCAAAGUCUCUCUAUGCUUUUGCUAUAGAGAGAAGUUGUUUAGAGGAUUUAAAUAUGCACAACUCAAAUGGCAGUUCAAUAAGCUACAACCACACUAAUGGAUGGAAAAGUCUUUCCGUGGCAUGUGUGCUCGUUUGUGUAGAGAUGCGCAUCAAAAACAGUUGUUGCGGUUUCAAAGACUUUUACAACAGCAGAAACAAUGUUGUAUGCUCGAACUCUGAGGCAGUGGAUUACAGCUUCUCUUGGGGCCUUAAGCAGUUGCAAAACAUAUGGUGGCUGUCAGCACAAAUCUAACGGUUCUUUCGGGUCUUAUCAUCGACUUGAGUGGAUUUCCGAACUGGCACAAUAGGGCUUAAGGACUUAGAAUUUAAGAUUUUUAGGUAUUUAGUAUUAUUUAGAAUUUGUUAUUGUUUGGCUAAAAUCAAAUAAGUUUUUUGUUGUCGGAACUUAUAUUCGAAAUUUAAUUUGAAUAUUGGGAUUGUAAUUGGAGAGUUAAAACUAUUUGUUAUAAAUUAUUAAUGCUCUUUGGUUAUGACUUUUUAAAAA